rnacentral:rRNA from 1 species
AGGCGUGACGACGAGGCACUACGGUGCUGAAGCAACAAAUGCCCUGCUUCCAGGAAAAGCCUCUAAGCAUCAGGUAACAUCAAAUCGUACCCCAAACCGACACAGGUGGUCAGGUAGAGAAUACCAAGGCGCUUGAGAGAACUCGGGUGAAGGAACUAGGCAAAAUGGUGCCGUAACUUCGGGAGAAGGCACGCUGACACGUAGGUGAAGUGAUUUACUCAUGGAGCUGAAGUCAGUCGAAGAUACCAGCUGGCUGCAACUGUUUAUUAAAAACACAGCACUGUGCAAACACGAAAGUGGACGUAUACGGUGUGACGCCUGCCCGGUGCCGGAAGGUUAAUUGAUGGGGUCAGCGCAAGCGAAGCUCCUGAUCGAAGCCCCGGUAAACGGCGGCCGUAACUAUAACGGUCCUAAGGUAGCGAAAUUCCUUGUCGGGUAAGUUCCGACCUGCACGAAUGGCGUAAUGAUGGCCAGGCUGUCUCCACCCGAGACUCAGUGAAAUUGAACUCGCUGUGAAGAUGCAGUGUACCCGCGGCAAGACGGAAAGACCCCGUGAACCUUUACUAUAGCUUGACACUGAACAUUGAGCCUUGAUGUGUAGGAUAGGUGGGAGGCUUUGAAGUGUGGACGCCAGUCUGCAUGGAGCCGACCUUGAAAUACCACCCUUUAAUGUUUGAUGUUCUAACGUGGACCCGUAAUCCGGGUUGCGGACAGUGUCUGGUGGGUAGUUUGACUGGGGCGGUCUCCUCCUAAAGAGUAACGGAGGAGCACGAAGGUUGGCUAAUCCUGGUCGGACAUCAGGAGGUUAGUGCAAUGGCAUAAGCCAGCUUGACUGCGAGCGUGACGGCGCGAGCAGGUGCGAAAGCAGGUCAUAGUGAUCCGGUGGUUCUGAAUGGAAGGGCCAUCGCUCAACGGAUAAAAGGUACUCCGGGGAUAACAGGCUGAUACCGCCCAAGAGUUCAUAUCGACGGCGGUGUUUGGCACCUCGAUGUCGGCUCAUCACAUCCUGGGGCUGAAGUAGGUCCCAAGGGUAUGGCUGUUCGCCAUUUAAAGUGGUACGCGAGCUGGGUUUAGAACGUCGUGAGACAGUUCGGUCCCUAUCUGCCGUGGGCGCUGGAGAACUGAGGGGGGCUGCUCCUAGUACGAGAGGACCGGAGUGGACGCAUCACUGGUGUUCGGGUUGUCAUGCCAAUGGCACUGCCCGGUAGCUAAAUGCGGAAGAGAUAAGUGCUGAAAGCAUCUAAGCACGAAACUUGCCCCGAGAUGAGUUCUCCCUGAGACUUAGAGUCUCCUGAAGGAACGUUGAAGACGAC